rnacentral:rRNA from 1 species
UACACACCGCCCGUCACACCAUGGGAGUUAGCUGCACCAGAAGCCGGUAGUCUAACCGCAAGGGGACGCCGUCCACGGUGUGGUCAAUGACUGGGGUG